rnacentral:rRNA from 1 species
GUGGGGAAUAUUGGACAAUGGGCGAAAGCCUGAUCCAGCCAUGCCGCGUGUGUGAAGAAGGUCUUCGGAUUGUAAAGCACUUUAAAUUGGGAGGAAGGGCAGUAAGUUAAUACCUUGCUGUUUUGACGUUACCGACAGAAUAAGCACCGGCUAACUUCGUGCCAGCAGCCGCGGUAAUACGAAGGGUGCAAGCGUUAAUCGGAAUUACUGGGCGUAAAGCGCGCGUAGGUGGUUUUGUAAGUUGGAGGUGAAAUCCCCGGGCUCAACCUGGGAACUGCCUCCAAAACUGCAUGACUAGAGUACGGUAGAGGGUAGUGGAAUUUCCUGUGUAGCGGUGAAAUGCGUAGAUAUAGGAAGGAACACCAGUGGCGAAGGCGACUACCUGGACUGAUACUGACACUGAGGUGCGAAAGCGUGGGGAGCAAACAGGAUUAGAUACCCGUGUAGUCC